rnacentral:rRNA from 1 species
CGGGGGGGGCAAGCGUUGUUCGGAAUUACUGGGCGUAAAGGGCGCGUAGGCGGUUCGCUAAGUCGGAUGUGAAAACUCUGGGCUCAACCCAGAGCCUGCAUCCGAAACUGGCGGGCUAGAGUUCUGGAGGGGGUAGCGGAAUUCCUGGUGUAGCGGUGAAAUGCGUAGAUAUCAGGAGGAACACCGGUGGCGAAGGCGGCUACCUGGACAGAAACUGACGCUGAGGCGCGAAAGCUAGGGGAGCAAACAGGAUUAGAUACCCUGGUAGUCCUAGCCCUAAACGAUGGAUACUUGGUGUGACGGGGAUUGAAUCCCGUCGUGCCGAAGCUAACGCAUUAAGUAUCCCGCCUGGGGAGUACGGUCGCAAGGCUG